rnacentral:tRNA from 1 species
AGUGCUACACCGGAUGAACGGAUUACUUUGAUGAAGUAAAAUAUGGGGAAAAUCCCUAGCACUC